rnacentral:rRNA from 1 species
GGCAUGGUGGUUCUAACCCACGGCGUUAGCUUGUGUGUGUUGGACUCUGUCUGCCAUCCUUCUAGAGAGCGGCGCUACCCUCACGGGCCGGCGUCUGCCAUCUAGAUCUUUUACUUUGAAAAAAUUAGAGUGUUUCAAGCAGGCGUUUGCUAUGAAUACAUUAGCAUGGAAUAAUCAACUAGGACUUCGGUCUGAUUUUGUUGGUUUCUAGGACUGAAGUA